UGUUGUCGUCAGCUCGUGUCGUGAGAUGUUGGGUUAAGUCCCGCAACGAGCGCAACCCCUAUUGUUAGUUGCCAUCAGGUAAAGCUGGGCACUCUAGAGAGACUGACCGGUGACGAAACCGGAGGAAGGUGGGGGAUGACGUCAAAUCAUCAUGCCCCUUAUGUCCUGGGCUACACACGUACUACAAUGGCCGGUACAAAGGGCUGCGAAGGGCGACCCGGAGCAAAUCCCAUCAAAGCCGGUCUCAGUUCGGAUUGUAGUCUGCAACUCGACUACAUGAAGUCGGAAUCGCUAGUAAUCGCAGGUCAGCAUACUCGCGGUGAAUACGUUCCCGGGCCUU
rnacentral:rRNA from 1 species